UACAGAGGUCUCAAGCGUUGUUCGGAUUCAUUGGGCGUAAAGGGUGCGUAGGCGGCGCGGUAAGUCGGGUGUGAAAUCUUGGAGCUUAACUCCGAAACUGCAUUCGAUACUGCCGUGCUUGAGGACUGGAGAGGAGACUGGAAUUUACGGUGUAGCGGUGAAAUGCGUAGAUAUCGUAAGGAAGACCGGUGGCGAAGGCGGGUCUCUGGGCAGUAACUGACGCUGGAGGAGCGAAAGCGUGGGGAGCGAACAGG
rnacentral:rRNA from 1 species